ensembl:lncRNA
GUCGUGACAUGGGGAGGUCGGGAGGUGGGGAUGUCGUGACAUGGGGAUGUUCUGAUAUGGGGAUGUUGGGAUAUGGCGAUGUCGUGACAUGGGGAUGUCGUGACAUGGAGAUGUUGGGAUAUGCGGAUGUCGUGACAUGGAGAUGUUGGGAGGUGGGGAUGUCGUGACAUGGGGAUGUCGGGAUAUGGGAAUGUUCCAAUAUGGGGAUGUCGGGAGAUGGCGAUGUCGUGACAUGGGGAUGUCAUGACAUGUGGAGAUGUCAGGAUAUGCGGAUGUCGUGACAUGGAGAUGUCAGGAGGUGGGGAUGUCGUGACAUGGGGAGGUCAUAACGGGAGGAUGUCGUGACAUGGGGAUGUCAGGAGGUGGGGAUGUCGUGACAUGGAGAUGUUGGGACAGGAGCAUGUCAUGACAUGGGGAAUAUCGGGACAUGGGGAUGUCAGGAUGUGGAGAUGUCAUGACAUGGGGGUGUCGUGACGGGGAUGUCGUGACAUGGGGAGGUCAGGAGGUGGGGAUGUCGGGACAUGCAGAGGUCGUGAUAUGGGAAUAUUGCGACGGGGAUGUCGUGACAUGGGGGCGACGUUAUGGGGGGAUGUCGUGACAUGGGGAUGUCGGGACAUUGGGGAUGUCAUGACAAAGAUGUCAGGACAUGCGGAUGUCGUGACAAGGGAUUGCUGUGACAGGGGGAUGUCGUGACAUGGAGAUGUAGGGAGGUGGGGAUGUCGGGAUAUGGGCAUGUCGUGACGUGGGGACAGUGUGACAUGGGGAUGUCGUGACAUGCAGAGGUCGUGAUAUGGGGAUGUCACGACGUGGGGAUGUCUUGACAUGGGGACAGUGUGACAGUGGGAUGUCAUGACGUGGAAAUAUCGUGACAUGGGGGAAGUGUGACAUGGGGAUGUCAUGAUAUGGGGAUGUCGUGACAUGGAAAUAACGUGACGCAGAGGUGUUGUGACAUGGGGACAGUUUGACAUAGGGAUGUCGUGACGUGGAAAUAUUGUGACAUGGGCACAGUGUGGCAUGGGGACAGGGGGACAUGGGGAUGUCGUGACAUGGGGAUGAUGUCAUAUGGAGAUGUCGUGACGUGGGGACAGUGUGACAUGGGGAUGUCGUGACGUGAGAAUGUUGUGACAUGGGGAUAUCGUGACAUGGGGAUGCAGUGACAUGGGGACAGCCUACUAUGGGGGUGUCGUGACAUGGGGAUGUCGUGAUAUGGGGACAGUGUGAUAUGGGGAUGUCAUGACAUGGGGACAGCGUGACAUGGGGAUGAUGUGACGUGGGGAUGUCGCGAUAUGGGGAUGUCGUGACAUGGGGACAGCGUGACGUGGGGAUGUCGUGAUAUGCGGACAGUGUGACAUGAGGAUGUCGUGACAAAAGAAUGUCGUGACACGGGGAUGUUGUGACAUGGGGACAACGUGACGUGGGGAUGUUCUGAUAUGGGGAUGUCACGAUAUGGAGAUGUCGUGACAUGGGGAUAUCGUGACAUGGGGUUGAUGUGACAUGGGGAUGUUGUGAUGGGAUAUCGUGACAUGGGGAUGUCGGGAGAUGGGGAUGUUCUGAUAUGGGGAUGUCGCGAUAUGGGGAUGUCGUGACAUAGGGACAGCGUGACGUGGGGAUGCCGUGAUAUGCAGACAGUGUGACAUGGGGAUGUCGUGACAAAAGCAUGUCGUGACAUGGGGAUGUUGUGACAUGGGGACAGCGUGACGUGGGGAUGCCAUGACAUGGGGACAGUGUGACAUGGGGAUAUCGUGACAUGGGGAUGUCAUGAUAUGGGGAUGUCGUGACAUGGGGAUGAGGGUGGCAUGGGGAUAUGGUGACGUGGGGAUGUCGUGACAUAGGGACAGUGUGACAUAGGGGUAUCGUGAUAUGGGGAUGUCGUGACAUGGGGAUGUUGUGACCUGGGGAUGAUGUCAUAUGGGGAUGUCGUGACAUGGGGACAGCGUGAUAUGGGGAUGUCGUGACAUGGGGAUGAUAUCGUGACAUGGGGAAAGUCGGACACAGGGACUGUGUGAUGGGGAUGUAGUGACAUGGGGAUGUUCUGAUAUGGGGAUGUCACGAUAUGGGGAUGUCGUGACAUGGGGAUAUCGUGACAUGGGGGUGAUGUGACAUGGGGAUGUUGUGAUGGGAUAUCGUGACAUGGGGAUGUCGGGAGAUGGGGAUGUUCUGAUAUGGGGAUGUCGCAAUAUGGGGAUGUCGUGACAUAGGGACAGUGUGACAUGGGGAUGUCGUGACAAAAGCAUGUCGUGACAUGGGGAUGUUGUGACAUGGGGACAGCGUGACGUGGGGAUGCCAUGACAUGGGGACAGUGUGACAUGGGGAUAUCGUGACAUGGGGAUGUCAUGAUAUGGGGAUGUCGUGACAUGGGGAUGAGGGUGGCAUGGGGAUAUGGUGACGUGGGGAUGUCGUGACAUAGGGACAGUGUGACAUGGCAAUGUCGUGACCUGGGGAUGUCGUGACAUGGGGAUAUCAUUAAAUGGGGAUGUCGUGACAUGAGGAUGUUGUGAUAUGGGGUUAUCAGGACACGGGGAUGUUGUGGUAUGGGGAUGUCGUGACAUGGGGAUGUCGUGACAUGCGGACAGUGUGACAUGGGGAUGUCGUGACAUGGGGAUAUCAUCACAAGGGGACAGUGUGACAUGGAGAUAUCGUGAUAUGGAGAUGUUGUGACAUGGGGAUGUCGUGACAUGGGGACAGUGUGACGUGGGGAUAUCAUCACAAGGGGACAGUGUGACGUGGGGAUGUCGUGACGUGGAGAUAUCGUGAUAUGGGGAUAUCGUGACAUGGGGAUGUUUUGAUAUGGGGAUGUCACGACAUGGGGACAGCGUGACGUGGGGAUGUCCUGACAUGAGAAUGGCGUGACAUGGGGAUGUCGUGACAUGGGGAUGAGGGUGACAUGGUGAUAUCGUGACGUGGGGAUGUCGUGACAUACAUGGGGAUGUCGUGUCCAGGAGAUCUCGUGACAUGGGGAUACUGUGACACGGUGAUGUCGUGUCAUGGGGGUGUCACGAUAUGGGGACAUUGUGACAUGGGAAUGUCGCGACAUGGGGAUGUCGCGAUGUGGGGACGUCGUGACACGGGGACAGCGUGCCGUGGGGAUGCCGUAACACGAGAAUGUCAUGACGUGGGGAUAUCGUGGCAUCGAUAUGUCACGACAUGGGGAUAUCGUGAGGUGGGGAUGGCGUAAGAUCGCGAUGUCGUGACAUGGGGAUAUCGUGAUAUGCAGAUUCCGUGACAUGGGGAUAUCGUGACAUGGGGACAGUGUGACAUGGGGAUGUCGCGACAUGAGGAUGCUGUGAGGUGGGGAUGUCGUGACACGGGGAUGAGGGUGACAUGGUGAUAUCGUGACAUGGGGACAUUGUGACAUGUCGAUGUCGUGACGUGGGGAUAUCAUGAUAUGGGGAAAGUGUGACUUGGGGAUGUCGCGUCAUGAGGAUGUCGCUAUAUGGGGAUGUCGUGACAUGGGGACAGUGGGACAUGGUGAUAUCAUGACAUGGGGAUGUCGUGACAUGGGGAUACUGUGACGUGGGGACAGUGUGACGUGGGGAUGUCGAGACAUGAGGAUGUCACAAUAUGGGGAUGUCGUGACAUGGGGACAGUGUGACGUGGGGAUGUCGUGACAUGGGGAUGUCAUGAUAUGGGGAUGUUGUGAUAUGGGGACAAUGUGACAUGGGGACAUUGUGAUGUGGGGAUGUCGUGACAUGGGGACAGUGUGACAUGGUGAUAUCGUGACAUGGGGAUGUCGUGUCAUGGGGAUAUCAUGAUAUGGGGGCAGUGUGACAUGGGGAUGUCAUGACAUGAGGAUGUCGUAAUAUGGGGAUGUUGUGACAUGGGGACACUGUGACAUGGGGAUGUCGUGACAUGGGGAUGUUGUGACGUGAUAUCGUGACAUGGGGACGUUGUGACAUGAGGAUGUCGCAAUAUGGGGAUGUCGUGACAUGGGGACAGUGUGACAUGGGGAUGUCGUGACGUGGGGAUAUCACGAUAUGGGGACAGUGUGACUUGGGGAUGUCGUGACAUGGGGAUGUCAUGAUAUGGGGAUGUUGUGAUAUGGGGACAAUGUGACAUGGUGAUAUCGUGACAUGGGGAUGUCGUGACAUGGGGACCGUGACAUGGGGAUGUCGUGACAUGGGGAUGUGGUGACAUGGGGAUGUCGUGACAUAGGAAUGUCGUGACGUGGGGGCAGCAGAUCAUGGGGAUGUUGUGACAUGGGGACAGCGUGACAUGGGGAUGUCGUGACAUGGGGAUAUUAUGACAUGGGGAUGUCACGACAUGGGGACAGUGUGACGUGGGGAUGUUGAAACGCGAUGGGGAUGUCGUGAUAUGGGGAUGUCGUGACAUGGGGACAGUCUGGCAGUGGGCUGUCGUGACAUGGGGACGGUGUGACAAUGAGAUGUCGUGACAUGGGGACGUUGUGAUAUGGGGACGGUGUGACAUGGGGAUGUCGUGACAUGGGGAUGUCGUGAUAUGGGGACGGUGUGACAUGGGGAUGUCGUGACAUGGGGAUGAUAUGACGUGGGGAUAUUAUGACAUAGGGAUGUCGUGACAUGGGACAGUCUGACAGUGGGCUGUCGUGACAUGGGGACGGUGUGACAAUGAGAUGUCGUGACAUGGGGAUGUCGUGACAUGGGGACGGUGUGACAUGGGGAUGUCGUGACAUGGGGAUGAUAUGACGUGGGGAUAUUAUGACAUGGGGAUGUCGUGACAUGGGACAGUCUGACAGUGGGAUGUCGCGACAUGGGGAUGUGACAUGGGGAUGUGGAGACAUGGGGAUGUCGUGACAUGGGGACAGUGUGACAUGAGGAUGUCGUGACAUGGGGAUGUCGUGACAUGGGCACAGUGCGACAUGGGGAUGUCCCGAUAUGGGGAUGUCAUGACAUGGGGAUGAUAUGACAUGGGGAUGUCGUGACAUGGGGACAUUGUGACAAUGUGAUGUCGUGACAUGGGGACAGUGUGACAUGGGGAUGUCGUGACAUAGGGACAGUGUGACAUGGAGAUAUGGUGACAUGGGGAUGUCGCGACAUGGGGAUGUCGUGACAUGGGGACAGUGUGACAUGGAGAUGUCACAACAUGGGGUCAGUAUGACAUGGGGAUGUCGUGACAUGGGGAUGUCACGUCAUGGGGAUGUCACGACAUGGGGUCAGCGUGACAUGGGGAUGUCGCGACAUGGGGACAGUGUGACGUGGGGAUGUCGUGACAUGGGGACCUCUCCAUUUGGGGACGUGGAUUUGGGGCCAUCAGUGUGAUUUGGGGUCAUCUCUACGUGGCGACAUUCGCAUUUGGGGUCGUUGGGAUUUGGGGCCAUCAUUGGGAUUUGGGGGCAUAGAUUUGGGGUCACCCCUAUUUGGGGUCACCCCUAUUUGGGGUCGUUGUGAUUUGGGGCCAUCAUUGGGAUUUGAGGUCGUCUCUCUUUGGGGCCAUCCUUGGGAUUUGGGGUCGUCUCUCUUUAGGGCCAUCAUUGGGAUUUGGGGCCAUCAUUGGGAUUUGGGGACAUCUCUAUUUGGGGACAUUGAUUUGGGGUCAUCCCCUUUUGGGGCCAU